rnacentral:rRNA from 1 species
AGAGUUUGAUCAUGGCUCAGAACGAACGCUGGCGGCGUGCUUAACACAUUGCAAGUCGAGUGCGCGGUUGUAGCAAUACAACUGGCGCACGGCGCACGGGUGCGUAACACGUGGGUAAUCUGCCGUGAAGUCCGGGAUAACUUGCUGAAAGGCGAGCUAAUACCGGAUGUGAACGCAAGUUCAAAGUUGGGGACCGUAAGGCCUGACGCUUCACGAUGAGCCCGCGGCCUAUCAGCUAGUUGGUGAGGUAACGGCUCACCAAGGCUAAGACGGGUAGCUGGUCUGAGAGGACGACCAGCCACACUGGAACUGAGACACGGUCCAGACACCUACGGGUGGCAGCAGUCGAGAAUUUUUCUCAAUGGGCGAAAGCCUGAAGGAGCGACGCCGCGUGGGGGAUGAAUGGCUUCGGCCCGUAAACCCCUGUCAUUUGCGAACAAGUUGAUUCACCUAACACGUGAAGCAUUGAUUGUAGCGGAAGAGGAAGGGACGGCUAACUCUGUGCCAGCAGCCGCGGUAAUACAGAGGUCCCAAGCGUUGUUCGGAUUCACUGGGCGUAAAGGGUGCGUAGGCGGCCAGGUAAGUUUGAUGUGAAAUCCCGCAGCUCAACUGCGGAACUGCAUUGAAUACUAUUUGGCUCGAGGAAUGGAGGGGAGACUGGAAUUCUCGGUAGCAGUGAAAUGCGUAGAUAUCGAGAGGAACACCAGUGGCGAAGGCGAGUCUCUUGACAUUUCCUGACGCUCAGGCACGAAAGCCAGGGGAGCAAACGGGAUUAGAUACCCCGGUAGUCC